ACUCCCAGAUGAGAACACAGGCAGGCUGACUCUUGAGUCCAGCCUUGUGGAACCCAGAGAAGAGGGCCCAGGUAAGCCAUGGCUAGACUCCUGACUGACAGAAAUUGUGACAUCACACAUGUGUUAUUUUAAGCUACUAAGUUGGUGGUAAUUUGUUGUGCAACAAUAGAAUACUCAUAUAGCUUAGCUGAAUCAUGAUUAACCACUGGAAGAAGAAGGAAGCCAAAGUAUCUGAUGCACUGGAGAAUGAAAACCCGUUCAAAAUCAGAAGUAUAGAGAAGUUUUCUGUAAAAUGGAAAUGAGUAUCAUGAAGUUUUAAAUGAACAGUGUAAAACAGAAGACAUCAGCAUUCAUUAGGUCCCAGACCUCUUUGAGAAUCUGAUGAAAUUCUGGACAACCUCUCCUCCCACAAACAAGAUGUACUAGAAUACCUACACAUAAAAUGUUGCAUUCAAUUUUGGAAUGUGAAGAGAUCAUUUGAAGCCGAUCCAGAGGCCUCUAAGGACUUGACUGGUGCAGUAUUGGUGGCUGCUGGGUCAGAUGAGCUCCCUGCUAUUCCAAGAAACAAUACAUGUUUGCAGCCACUAAGAUUUGAGGACUUUUGUUAUUACUGCCUAUCCUGACAGACUCAGGUGCUACAACUAUUUAAGGGCAUAAGUAUAAUAAAUUAAUAUCUAGUUUUAUGUUUUCAGAUGUCUUAAAACUAUUUAAGGGGAUCCACGCAAAAUGUUGUUCCCUUAAAAGAGGGCACAUCUCUCUCACGUGGAGAAAUACUGGUAAGAGGAAAAGACUUUCAAGUCAACCAACUUGAUGUGGUGUGCAGGUGCUGCAAUUUACUUCAGACAUUGCAUCUAUAAAAGAAAGAUAAGGUCUCGGCUGGCAAGAUGGCCUAAGAGGAACAGCUCCAGUCUGCAGCUCCCAGCAAGAUUGAUGCAGAAGUGACCGGAUCUCACUCUGGCACCUAGACUGGAGGGUACUGGCAUGAACUCCUGGGCUCAGAUGUCCUCCCACCUCCACCUUCUGAGUAGCCGGAAUUACAGGAAUGAACCAUCAUGCUCAGAUUUCAAGCUCCCUGAAGAUGAAGGCUGAAUCCUACACCUCGCUUGUAUCCUCCAUGGCUCAUUGAACAAGUGCUAGCUAGCUACAUGGAGACUGCUCAAUAAAUAUUGAAUAACUCACGAGGGACUCAAUAAAUAACGAUUGCUUAAUUGAUUAGCUCCGUCAAUAAAUCUUGCUUUGAACAGAGGUACAGCCAUUGAAGAUACUCAAAAGGCAAUCUCGGUCACUGUGCCUCUGGAUAGGGGAAAGCUCCAUGAAUGUAAGAUCUGGUGGGAGAAGGCAAGUUAUUUAACCUCUCUAAGCCCCGGGAGCUUCAUCUGUAAAAUGGGAAAAUACUGUAGUGCUUCCGUGUCAUUGUCACUGUGACAAUGUAAUGAGGAUGAUGCACAGAAGGCAUUUAUCACACUGCCUAGUCCAUUAUAAAUUCUUAAUAAACAUUAAUUGAUAUUAGCUACUCAUAGAUCUUAAGAACUGGAUUGAAAGAAACACCAUGAGAAAACUUUCAAUCUGUAGCAAUAUUACCCAAUAGCUUCA
rnacentral:lncRNA from 10 species